rnacentral:rRNA from 1 species
GACGAACGCUGGCGGCGUGCCUAAUACAUGCAAGUCGAACGCAGUGGGGACGGGUGAGUAACACGUGGGUAACCUCCCAUCAGAGGGGAUAACACUUGGAAACAGGUGCUAAACCGAUAGUGAUGGCAGGACCCGCGGUGCAUUAGCUAGUUGGUGAGGUAACGGCUCACCAAGGCCACGAUGCAUAGCCGACCUGCGAGCGUGAUCGGACACAGUGGGACUGAGACACGGCUCAGACUCCUACGGGAGGCAGCAUGAGGGAAUCUGCGGCAAUGGACGAAAGUCUGACCGAGCAACGCCGCGUGAGUGAAGGGGGUUGUCGGAUCGUAAAACUCUGUUGUUAGAGAAGCGGUAUCUAACCAGAAAGCCACGGCUAACUACGUGCCAGCAGCCGCGGUAAUUC